GACGAACGCUGGCGGCGUGCUUAACACAUGCAAGUCGAACGGAAAGGCCCCCAUCUUGGUGGGGGUGCUCGAGUGGCGAACGGGUGAGUAACACGUGGGUGAUCUGCCCUGUACUUCGGGAUAAGCUUGGGAAACUGGGUCUAAUACCGGAUAGGACCAUGGUUUAGUGUCUCAUGGUGGAAAGAUUAUUGUUUUGGUGCAGGAUGAGCUCGCGGCCUAUCAGCUUGUUGGUGGGGUAAUGGCCUACCAAGGCGUCGACGGGUAGCCGGCCUGAGAGGGUGGACGGCCACAUUGGGACUGAGAUACGGCCCAGACUCCUACGGGAGGCAGCAGUGGGGAAUAUUGCACAAUGGGCGCAAGCCUGAUGCAGCGACGCCGCGUGGGGGAUGACGGCUUUCGGGUUGUAAACUCCUUUCGUUAGGGACGAAGCCGCACUUUUUUUGGGUGUGGUGACGGUACCUUUGUUAAGAAGCACCGGCUAACUACGUG
rnacentral:rRNA from 1 species